rnacentral:misc_RNA from 1 species
AAAGUCGUAACAAGGUAACCGUAGGUGAACCUGCGGUUGGAUCAUUAAAAAGAUCUAGCCCGAGGCCGGAUAGGAUGCUUGCGUCUUUCCGAGUAGUAGGGCUUCCUCGCUGAACAAGUGAGUCAACAUUAUGUGAACUGUUUUGUCUCUGGCGGUGGGGUGGUGUCAAAACCACCUGUCAGCUCCCGAGUUGUACUCGGUGUGCCGUGGACAAGCCGUCAAUGGUGUAUGUUUCAUACAAACUUUUGUUUCAUCAAUCUGUCUGACAUACCUUUGUAUCUAAAAUAUACAAAAACAACUUUUGGCAACGGAUCUCUUGGCUCCC